GACGAACGCUGGCGGCGUGCUUAACACAUGCAAGUCGAGCGGAGCGGCGAACGGGUGAGUAACGCGUGAGUAACUGCCCCCCUCUCUGGGAUAACAGUUGGAAACGGCUGCUAAUACCGGAUAGUGGGGGAUGACUCGCGUCCUAUCAGCUUGUUGGGGGGGUAGUGGCCUACCAAGGCGACGACGGGUAGCCGGCCUGCGGGGGCGACCGGCCACAAUGGGCUGAGGGACGGCCCAAAGUCCUACGGGAGGCAGCAGGGGGGAAUAUUGCGCAACGGGGGAAACUCUGAUGCGGCAACGCCGCGUGCGUGAUGUAGGCCUUCGGGUUGUGAACCGCUUUCAGCCAUGACGCGGUAGUGGCAGAAGAAGCACCGGCUAACUACGUGCCAGCAGCCGCGGUAAUUC
rnacentral:rRNA from 1 species